CGCACGGGUGAGUAACACGUAUCCAACCUGCCGUCUACUCUUGGACAGCCUUCCGAAAGGAAGAUUAAUACAAGAUGGCAUCAUGAGUCCGCAUGUUCACAUGAUUAAAGGUACUCCGGUAGACGAUGGGGAUGCGUUCCAUCAGAUAGUAGGCGGGGUAACGGCCCACCUAGUCUUCGAUGGAUAGGGGUUCUGAGAGGAAGGUCCCCCACAUUGGAACUGAGACACGGUCCAA
rnacentral:rRNA from 1 species